CCGGCCCCGGCGGGCACGCGGGACGGGGCACCGGGGAUCGCGCCGCGCACGCCCUGUACCGAAGGGCGGCUCCGAACCGUCUCGCCGGGGCUGCCAGCGGGAGAGCUCAGGCGGAGAGGCGGCCCGAGGGCUGCGGUGCCUCUGAGGCGGCGGAGCCCGUGCCCGCUCCCGCAGCAGCGCUGCCCGCCCGGGUCGGUCGCUGACGCUUCUGAACGCGCGGGGCUCGGUGCGGGGCGCGGCGCGGGCGUGUGCGGGACAGCCCGCGCUCACCGCGCCGGGAUUCCCGCUGAGGCAAAAACCGACGGGAAGAGCGAUCCUGCAUGGAGCGCCCGACCCCGCGCUGCCGGCUCCCCUUCCGUGGGUUUUUUGAUUGUUCGUUUUUGUUUGUAUCUUUGUUUGCUUUGUUUCCCCACGAUACCGUUAAAAAUCCAAAUACGAGGAAAUGAAAAUCCAUAAAAGAUUAUUUGCGGAGAUUCUUAAUGUGACCCGUGAUAUGCCACGACCCUGUCAAAAGAAGGAGUAUAUUUUGUAAUGCUCCCAAAAUAUUGAUACUUAAUAAGCAGAACGAGUGUUAACUUAAAUUUCUUAAUACUUCUAUUUUGUGGGUCUUAAGAUAAACCUUCUUUUUAUGCCGUUUUCACACGGAAAAUAUAUUUGAAAGAAAUUCGUCAUUGUGUUUUAGUAAAUUAUUUUGGAAAAGGUUUUCAGUAAUAGAGCCUAUUUGUUUUUGUUAUAGGCGGUAGAAAUCGGAAAAUCUUUGUCGUUAAUGCUGAAAAAAUAAUAUAUGAUUAUUUAAUUCUGAGAUCAAGAUAAAGGCUGGAGUUUUCAUAAAUUCUGGCUAUAAAAGAACAAGGAAAAAACCUCCUCAAAACCCAACGAAAAGGCAGCGCUGAGCAGCGGGACCGGGAAGCAGAGGGAAAGCCCCCAGCCCUGCACCCGCAGCACUAAUUCCAGCUUUGUUCGUGGGCUUUUACUCGCAAAUAUUACACUAAAGUUAAAUUUGAGAGUCGAACAAGAAACGCAGCCGGUCCCAGUCCUUCCCAAAGAGGCAGGAGGAAGGAGCCAUCGGGAUAACAAACAACGGCCGAGCCCUCUGCACCGACCGCCCCGUCCCGGCAGCCGGCCCGCCGGCCCCGCCCGGUGCACGCGGUACCCGGCGCUGCGGGGGCGCAGCCCGACCCCACUCGUGAGCGGGGCAGAACCGCGCGGAACCCGGGAGGGCCACGGGCAUCUCCGCACGACGGAAGGGGGGCGCCGGGCUUUCUCCGCAAAAGCGUGCGGAUGCUUGGGCGUCUGCGCAGUCUGUCCGUGCACAUUCCCGGCUGCCCGGAC
rnacentral:lncRNA from 1 species